rnacentral:lncRNA from 1 species
CGACGAGUCCUAGGAUGGACUCGCCGAGUAGGUACUGGGCAGAGAAAACCCUAAGUUCCGGGGUUGGAGCCUAUUUAAAGGAACUUAUGACCUUGGGUGCGCCUCAUAUCUCCUGUAAGAAACCCUAAAUCGCCAUUGGAGCCAAGGAAGAGUUCUUGUGAUGAAAUCAAGUAAUUUUGGUGUGGUUUUUCAAAUGAAGUGAAGGGAUUCAGCUUGAAGGACCCAUGGAGGUUGUUAUUCUGAGACAUCUAAGCAAGGAGCUCUAUUUUGAGGUAGUAUUUCGCCCCUUCCUUCUGUUUUGAUGUAAAAAUCCUUGAAUCUAGGGUUUUCUUUACCCUUUCUUGGAUAGUAUAUGAUACAUACGAGAUCCCAAUGUGGUAUAAGCUUUAGAUCUGGACCUUAAGAGGUCCAGAGAGUCCCAAUCUUCCAGCUUUAUGCAGUCCCUUUGGGGUUAUGGAUCUAGGUUGCCAUUUUAGGAGUUAUUUCUUCAUUUAAGGGCAUAAGAGUGUUGCAUGAGCUUAAAGAUUGAACCUUUACGUGAUUAUUGGGUAUAAGAAGGUCAGAUCUAUAAGUUAGAGAAACAGAUCUGGCCUCAGAAGGUCUUUUCAGUGUUGCCAUAGGGGGAACUCGCCGAGUCCAUAUGAGGACUCGACGAUUCGAGUCGGGUUGCCCCGCGAUUCGUGACCAGUGGUAACCCGUCGAGUGAAAGGUUAACUCGACGAGUCGAGUGAGGCUUUUGAGGAUUCAGAGGACAUGUAUGGACUCGCCGAGUCACUCUUGUGCACUCGACGAGUCUGGUCAGAGUUGACCUUUGACUUCUGUUGACUUUGGGGUUUUGGUCAACAUAAGUAACAGAGAUCAUAGAGGGGUAAAAUGGUCUUUUACCCACUACCCGAUUAGAGAAGGAAAGAGAAAUUGUCGGUCUACUUAGAGAUAUUUGCCUUAUGUGUUAGGCGGUGACGAGUUCGAGAAUCAAGUGUAAGGAUAAUUGCUUUUUGCUUCCAGGUGAGUCUUCUCACUAUACUUUACCUUGAGUGGUAGUUAGGUGUGACCAGAAGGUCUUAUGUGCUUGUAUUGAGUAUUAUGUUAUCCUGGUGUAUGUGACAUGCUAUGCAUUAUGUCUUUGUGAUUUAUGCUGUGCGGAGAUUAUAGACCGAACCCGAGGGUCCAACGAUUCAUGAGGCCGGAAGGCUCAAGUAGACCGGACCGGAGGGUCCAAUGAGCUUAGGACUAGAGCGUCCAUAGAGUUAUGGGACUAGAGGGUCCCACUGAGACACAUUGACUAGAGGGUCAACAGAGUUAUAGCCUCGAGUGGCUAAAAUGUGUUGUAUGUGGUAUUUUGGGGAACUCACUAAGCUUCAUGCUUACCGUGUUAUGUGUUGUGUGUUUCAGGUUUUUCUCAGGAUCACGGGACGACACCAGCUCGAUUGUACACACAAGAGGAAGAGUUAUGUUUAGAGGAUCCUGUAUUAUUAUUUAAUUGAUUAUGGAGUUAUGUUUUGCAAUUUAAAAAAAAAUGAGAUUUUUACGAAAAGUGUUUUAAGAAUUAAGCGUAUUUAAAUGAAAAUUUUAGUUUUGGAAAUUUCGGUGUUACAAGUUGGUAUCAGAGCCUUGGUUUGAGCUAUUCGGAUGCACCUUCGGGUAAAUCUGGACUCAAACUGAGGAAGUAAGAAAAGUUCUCAAAAAAAUGAUUUUCUAAAAGUGAAUAAGAGUUCAAAGAGAAAGCGAGAAAGAGCAGUGUGUACAAUCAGCCAGAGCCCGAACAGUGAUUUCCCAAAAUACCCUUAAUUUUGUGUUAUGAGAUAUUUAUGAUACAUUUUAUGAUAUAUUAUGCAUGCUAGAGACAGGCUAGGUAUUUCAUAUCUUAGGACUAGAGUUGCCUGAUUUGUGAUGCCUUAGCCUAGGAGUUGUUGUUAUAUGUGAUGUGCUUUUGAGUAUGAGUGAGAGUAUUUAGUUGGAAUCCUUUAGGGGAUUCGAGUAGAGAAGUAAUCUAGAAGAGGUAUCUAUAUGAGCAUAUGAGGAGUCUGCCGAGAGGGUAGCCAAAGGCCAUGUGGGGCGAAGAUGUUAGAGUUCGGUGAUAUCCUUCAAGUAUGAGGAAAGCGAGUGGAUAAUAACCUAGGGAGGUUUUACGUGCUGAAGGAGAUGCUUUGAUGCCCGAAUGCUGUUUGCUUUGUGCUUUGUGGAACUCUCGACGAUGGGAGUCAGCUACUAGGUGAGUAUGACGAUAUUCAGGAGGUAGAUGGCUGGCAUAAUUAGGAGUUCUUAAGCAGCUGAUGGCGGAGAAGUGUGAGAACCAAGGAAGAGCCUAGGGAGUAGCCUUAGUCAGAUGAGUACGCUGGUAGAGUAGAGCAUUUCAUUGAGGAGCGAGCACGCGUGACGGGAUUGGUGAACGAGGGGGUUGAGCUGCUACUUACGAGCUCUGGGAUGGUUCGUAUGGAAAGUAUGGGUAGAUGUGGCAGGUAGUAUGGGCCCGUACUACCGAAAGCAGAGGACCCAUACUCAAUACAGGGAGUAUUCUGAAGGUUCUAAGUAGCAGAUUAGGAAGUGAUGCUAUGGUUUGAGUACCAUGCAUCUUAGCAGAUUGGGGAGUGAUGCCAUGGUUCGAGUACCAUGCAUCUUAGUACAUUGGGAAGUGAUGCCAUGGUUCGAGUACCAUGCAUCAGAGCAGAUUGAAGAGUGAUGUUAUGGUCCGAGUACCAUACAUCGGAGCAGAUUGGGAAGUGAUGACAUGGUUCGAGUACCAUGCAUCUUAGCAGAUUGAGGGGUGAUGGUAUAGUUCGAGUGCCAUGCAUUGUAGCAGAUUGAGAAGAGAUGUCAGGGGCUGAGUACCAUAGUUCUUAGCAAAUGAUGCUUGUGAUUAUCCGGUUGUCUGAUCAGGAUUGAUUGGUGGAGUUUGGACUCGAUGGGGUUUUAGGCCUAAGGGCCAUGAUUGAGUUCGAAAAGGCAUCCCAUGAGAGGGAGGUCGAGAGCAUUUCAGAGUACCUUGGUAAGAUGUCAGAUGUAGUCGCGAGACUCAGGGAUUAAUAUAGAAGGCUUUUAUGGGGGAUUGCGGUAUGAGUAACCAAUCAUCCGAUGGAGGAGAUGUCACCUUCUGUGACUUGUUGGGUGUUAUUUAUGUUUCCUAUGGGAAGUAGGAUAGGCGUGAGAUUUCAGUUUUGGGUUUAGGAGUAAACCUUACGGGUUGACAUUGAUGACGAUUUUUCCACCAGAGUAUCGGGCAGCAUGUCUGCCGCGAGGAAAUGACCUACCAUGAGCAGGUAGUUAGUAGGGACUGAGAUGGUCAAAGACCACAUUACACAAUAAUUGAGUAUAGUAGGUCGUGUGGUAGCAGUAUCAGCGGGUAAUCCAGUCGAGUAUAUCAGAGCGGUGGCUCUUUUGUCUAUGAUGGGCAUUGAGUAUGGUAGUGGAGUCCUUAUUCUCGUGAUGAUUCACGUGUUGGAACGGGGGUUGAGAAGUCGAGGAUGAGGAGUAUGAUGAUUUAUUGUUUCAGUCUAAGAGUCAGUGAUUGUACUAAACAGUUGGGAUGUCCAGUAUUGGGAUGGUAUGAGACUUCGAAUGGUUAGAGGCAGUCGUGAUGAAAAGUUCCUGAGGAUUUCUUUGGAGAUUUAGGGUAUUUGAGGUUUCUUGAUCUCUACGUGGGGAGAUCAUGGGGUGUUGUGUGGCACCUUCCAAGCAUAGGUGCGGUGUUUCUGGAAGAAACCGCAUGUGAGGUAGAGUGUUGAUGCAUCAAAUUGGUGAUGGUUUGAACCGUAAGUGGGGGAGAACCGGGUAUUUUAUUGAGGGAACUAGAGAUUUGUGUAAGAGCGGUUAGGGGUUGGAUACAGAAACCUGCUGCUCGAACUCAUGAGGCCAAGGUCAUUGGUGAUCAAGGAAAGGUGCAGAGCGAGAUAAUGCAUGUGGUAUGUGUCUGAGAAAAGGAUGGGUGUCUCCUCGGCAGGUGGCCAAUGGUCAGGAAUCUGGUGAUGGUCAGGGCCGUUUCAAGUGGAAGACUCGUUAUGAUGGUAUGGGAAGUUGAGAACUUCUGGGUCGAAGUAUAGAUUGUAUAUGCCCUUUUUGGGGUGGAUAGAAGAUUAUCGAGCGGCCAACUCCUAGGCCGGUAUGUGUAUUCUUGCUUGGAUUUUGAGCAGUAGGCGAAAGGGUUUCGGAGGAUCAUCAGCGUGUUCUGAAGCGUUAGCGCUUUCUUUGUAUUCCAAUUGAGUGUUUGGAUACACUAAAGUUGCGCAUUGGGUAAAAAGAAGAAUUAUUCAUGGAGUUCAGAGGAAAUGUAUUGUUCUAUCUGUAUGGUGCUGGGAGUAGGAGAUCAGUGUUUGAGGCAGGACAUCGUGAUGUUCUGUAAUGGUGUUCCGUGGUGACCGAGUAUAAUGUCUCGAUUUCGGAGUUAUUUAGAAUCUUGAGUUUGAAACGACUAGUAUUGUAUCAUGUAUUUACGGUUCCAGUGGGAGCCCUUCGGGUAUUGUCAACGAGAGGGAUUAUUUAAGGUUAUGGAUCUCGGCAGGGGAAGGUAUUUUGUUAUGGUGGUGGCCGUCAGAGUCUGUGAUGCAUAUUUGGGUCAAGUGUGUGUAGCUAUCUAUGAUAGUCUAUGGAGCAUGAGUUAGUGGACAUAGUGUGAUGUUGUAGUGAGAAUGAGAUUAUGGGGUGAUGAGAGAGGGUGUUGUGGUGCUACGGGGAGUCGUAGUACUCACAAGUCAUAGAGGGGGGGGGGGUUGUGAUACUACGGGGAGCUAUAGUAUUCACUAGUCAGAGGGUGCUGUGAUGCUACAGGGAGUCGUAGUACUCACAAGUCAGAGAGAGGGAGUUGUGAUACUACGGGGAGCCGUAGUACUCACUAGUCAGAGGCUGUUGUGAUGCUACGAGGAGCCGUACUACUCACUAGUCGUUGAGAGGUCAUCAUGAUGCUGCAGAGAACAGUAGUACUCUCUAGACGAUAAGAGAGUGUGAUGAUGAAGUGAUAUCCAAUCAGAGUAUGAUGCAGAAGAGUUUUAGGCUUGAAUAGCCUUAGUAUUGAGUUUUUGGGAGCCUGGUGGUUGAACCAGGGGCGAGACUGGGGUCUCCGUCUCUGUCAGGGCUAAGUCGAUUUCCGAUUGGAUUGUAGUUUUCAUUUGAGAAUUUUGUGACUUGUGUUACACAGGGCCGAGAUAGUUGAUGCGAAGGGGAAGUCAGUGGAAACUCUUCUGCGGAGAGCCCGACAGAAUGAGCGGACGAUUCAGACGCUCAAGGACAUGAUUCGGCCAUGUGUAUUGGAUUUUGGAGGGACUUGGGACAUGUACUUACCCUUGGCUGAGUUUUCCUAUUGCAACAGCCAUCAUUCGAGCAUUGAUAUGCCACCCUUUGAGCUGUUGUAUGGGAGGAGGUGUCGGACUCCCAUUUGUUGGGGAGAGGUAGGGCAACAUGGGAUGGGUAGUACAGGGUUGGUGCUUCAGACGACCGAGCAGAUUCAGCGGUCAGACCUCGUGUGGUGCUAAAGGGGAUAUGGAAUUUGGAGCUGAGACUUAUGAAUGUGAUGUUUUAGGACACUUCCGAGCAAGCAUGGUUAUGCUUUUGUGCCUGAGGGCAGAGUGUUGGGAUUCUUUGAUCGGAUGGUUUCUGAUACAAGUUUAGUAGAUGUGCCCCGGUGGAGUGUGACCCCUUUUAGUCGUGGGGCGUGAUUCAUAUGAUUUAGCAUGAUCGGUUUGGGAGGCGAUAGUCGGUUUUUGGAUGUGGUCUUAUGAGAAUCAGUGAGCCAGUGAGUAAACAGGGUUGAUAUUCGAGGAGCGAAUAUCAUGGUGAUUGCUCGAGUAGGCGGUCAAGCGGUGGGUCAAGCCACUAGAGUUUUCGGGUAUUGGGAAGGAGUAUUUUAGCGAUGAAAGAGUUGGUUUAAAUUUUGGUUUUGGAAGUUUUAUGUGGUUUCGCGUGUCCAUAGAGAAAGAUAUCGGUGUAGUAUGAAGAUCAUUUCAGUAGUGCCUUCGGGUUGAUAAUUUCGAUCUAUAAGUGGUUAAGGAGUGAUUUCGAGGGCGAAAUCUAAUUCAAGUGGGGGAGAAUUGUAACAUCCGGAUUUACAGGGACAUUAUUGGGUAUGUUAAUCUUGAGAUUUGAGGAGGGACUCGACGAGUUGAGGGACCAACUCGCCGAGUCGAGUCGAGAUUUGUCGCGUGGAUUUAAUGAGCGGACUCGCCGAGUAGGUACUGGGCAGAGAAAACCCUAAGUUCCGGGGUUGGAACCUAUAUAUAGGAACUUAUGACCUUGGGUGCGCCUCAUAUCUCCUGUAAGAAACCCUAAAUCGCCAUUGGAGCCAAGGAAGAGUUCUUGUGAUGAAGUCAAGUAAUUUUGGUGUGGUUUUUCAAAUGAAGUGAAGGGAUUCAGCUUGAAGGACCCAUGGAGGUUGUUAUUCUG